rnacentral:rRNA from 1 species
AGAGUUUGAUCAUGGCUCAGGAUGAACGCUAGCGGCAGGCUUAAUACAUGCAAGUCGAGGGGCAGCGGGUGUAGCAAUACAUGCCGGCGACCGGCGCACGGGUGCGUAACGCGUAUGUAACCUACCUUUAACUGGAGGAUAGCCCCGAGAAAUCGGGAUUAAUACUCCAUAAAAUUAUGAGAAGGCAUCUUUUUAUAAUUAAAGCUCCGGCGGUUUUAGAUGGGCAUGCGUGACAUUAGCUAGUUGGUGAGGUAACGGCUCACCAAGGCUCCGAUGUCUAGGGGUUCUGAGAGGAUUAACCCCCACACUGGUACUGAGACACGGACCAGACUCCUACGGGAGGCAGCAGUAAGGAAUAUUGGGCAAUGGACGCAAGUCUGACCCAGCCAUGCCGCGUGAAGGAUGACAGCCCUAUGGGUUGUAAACUUCUUUUGUACGGGAAAAAACCUUCGAACGUGUUCGAAGCUGAUGGUACCGUAAGAAUAAGCAUCGGCUAACUCCGUG